AAAGUCGUAACAAGGUUUCCGUAGGUGAACCUGCGGAAGGAUCAUUAAUAAUUUGCCGAACCUAGCGUUAGCGAGGUUCUGCGAUCACUUAUAUUUAAAACCCAACUCUUAAAUGAUAAUAUGUAUUUUUUGAAUGAUAAAAAUUAAAAGAUCACUUUCAACAACGGAUCUCUUGGCUCUC
rnacentral:misc_RNA from 1 species